rnacentral:rRNA from 1 species
AACGAACGCUGGCGGCAUGCCUAACACAUGCAAGUCGAACGAGACCUUCGGGUCUAGUGGCGCACGGGUGCGUAACGCGUGGGAACCUUCCCUUAGGUUCGGAAUACCUCCCCGCAAGGGGUGCUAAUACCGGAUAAUGUCUUCGGACCAAAGAUUUAUCGCCUUUGGAUGGGCCCGCGUUGGAUUAGCUAGUUGGUAGGGUAAAAGCCUACCAAGGCUACGAUCCAUAGCUGGUCUGAGAGGAUGAUCAGCCACACUGGGACUGAGACACGGCCCAGACUCCUACGGGAAGCAGCAGUGGGGAAUAUUGGACAAUGGGCGAAAGCCUGAUCCAGCAAUGCCGCGUGAGUGAUGAAGGCCUUAGGGUUGUAAAGCUCUUUUACCCGGGAUGAUAAUGACAGUACCGGGAGAAUAAGCUCCGGCUAACUCCGUG